GUCGGGAUAGCUCAGCUGGUAGAGCAGAGGACUGAAACUC
rnacentral:tRNA from 1 species